rnacentral:rRNA from 1 species
AGGUAAUAGUAUGGGGAGGUCUGCCCGACAGAGGGGGGUAAUAACUGGAAACGGGUAGGUAAUACCGCAUAAUGUCUACGGACCAAAGCAGGGGCUCUUCGGACCUUGCACUAUCGGAUGAACCCAUAUGGGAUUAGCUAGUAGGUGGGGUAAAGGCUCACCUAGGCGACGAUCUCUAGCUGGUCUGAGGGGAUGAUCAGCCACACUGGGACUGAGACACGGCCCAG